GUCGAACGGUAACAGGUUAAGCUGACGAGUGGCGAACGGGUGAGUAAUGUAUCGGAACGUGCCCAGUCGUGGGGGAUAACUGCUCGAAAGAGCAGCUAAUACCGCAUACGACCUGAGGGUGAAAGCGGGGGAUCGCAAGACCUCGCGCGAUUGGAGCGGCCGAUAUCAGAUUGGGUAGUUGGUGAGGUAAAGGCUCACCAAGCCGACGAUCUGUAGCUGGUCUGAGAGGACGACCAGCCACACUGGGACUGAGACACGGCCCAGACUCCUACGGGAGGCAGCAGUGGGGAAUUUUGGACAAUGGGCGCAAGCCUGAUCCAGCCAUGCCGCGUGCGGGAAGAAGGCCUUCGGGUUGUAAACCGCUUUUGUCAGGGAAGAAAAGGUUCUGGCUAAUACCUGGGACUCAUGACGGUACCUGAAGAAUAAGCACCGGCUAACUACGUGCCAGCAGCCGCGGUAAUACGUAGGGUGCAAGCGUUAAUCGGAAUUACUGGGCGUAAAGCGUGCGCAGGCGGUUAUGCAAGACAGAGGUGAAAUCCCCGGGCUCAACCUGGGAACUGCCUUUGUGACUGCAUGGCUAGAGUACGGUAGAGGGGGA
rnacentral:rRNA from 1 species